UGAAAAUUUAACUGUGCAAUUCAGUUUAAUUUGAUAAUUAAUAUCUUACUUUAUAUUUUGUAUAUUAAUAUGAGAA
rnacentral:tRNA from 1 species